GAUGAACGCUGGCGGCGUGCCUAAUACAUGCAAGUCGAGCGAACAGACGAUGAGCUUGCUCCUCUGACGUUAGCGGCUGACGGGUGAGUAACACGUGGAUAACCUACCUAUAAGACUGGGAUAACUUCGGGAAACCGGAGCUAAUACCGGAUAAUAUAUUGAACCGCAUGGUUCAAUAGUGAAAGACGGUUUUGCUGUCACUUAUAGAUGGAUCCGCGCCGCAUUAGCUAGUUGGUAAGGUAACGGCUUACCAAGGCAACGAUGCGUAGCCGACCUGAGAGGGUGAUCGGCCACACUGGAACUGAGACACGGUCCAGACUCCUAUGGGAGGCAGCAGUAGGGAAUCUUCCGCAAUGGGCGAAAGCCUGACGGAGCAACGCCGCGUGAGUGAUGAAGGUCUUCGGAUCGUAAAACUCUGUUAUUAGGGAAGAACAAAUGUGUAAGUAACUAUGCACGUCUUGACGGUACCUAAUCAGAAAGCCACGGCUAACUACGUG
rnacentral:rRNA from 1 species